GGGGGUGAUAGGAAUCGACAGAAAUUUUUGUCAAAAUAGGCAGAUCGAGUAAGCUAGAAACUCGUUUAACUUCUAGCAAAAAGAAUAAAUGCCAAUUUAUUCGCAAGCAAACAGCUUGCUCCCGUUUUAGCUUAAAAGCUAAAACCAUCUGACCACUGAUUCUCGAUAAGUGAAAUCAGGUGUCAUAAAAUCGAGAUAGAUAGUUCUUUUCGUCUCGUGAACUUUAUCGAAAAGAUAGAGACUAGUGAUACUAGAAUUUUGCCUGUUUUCAAUCUAGUAUUUCAAAAAUCCAAAACAGACUAAAUCUGUAGAAAUAUUUUGGCAAAAUUUCUGCACGGGAGUUCGCCCUCCCCACCUCCACUA
rnacentral:tmRNA from 1 species